rnacentral:rRNA from 1 species
CCAGACUCCUACGGGAGGCAGCAGUGGGGAAUAUUGGACAAUGGGGGGAACCCUGAUCCAGCGACGCCGCGUGAGUGAAGAAGUAUUUCGGUAUGUAAAGCUCUAUCAGCAGGGAAGAAAGAAAUGACGGUACCUGACUAAGAAGCCCCGGCUAACUACGUGCCAGCAGCCGCGGUAAUACGUAGGGGGCAAGCGUUAUCCGGAUUUACUGGGUGUAAAGGGAGCGUAGACGGCGAUGCAAGCCAGAUGUGAAAGCCCGGGGCUCAACCCCGGGACUGCAUUUGGAACUGUGUGGCUGGAGUGUCGGAGAGGCAGGCGGAAUUCCUAGUGUAGCGGUGAAAUGCGUAGAUAUUAGGAGGAACACCAGUGGCGAAGGCGGCCUGCUGGACGAUGACUGACGUUGAGGCUCGAAAGCGUGGGGAGCAAACAGGAUUAGAUACCCCCGUAC